CCUCCCAUGGCGUAGUGGUCACUGCACUCGCCUUGCACGCGGGAGACCCGGGUUCGAUUCCCGGCGGGGUGA
rnacentral:tRNA from 1 species